AAUUAUUUUUAUCGCACUCUUAAAAAGGGUUUUUGUAGUAAUGCCAUAAAAUCAGUGAUCAGUUCUCAAAACAAUCAUUUUUUUUAUUAAUGUAAGAACAUUUUUGAAUAAUCUAAAGAACCUUUUCUAGUAUGAAGAACCUUUUGCGCUACGGAUGUUAAAGGUUCUUCGUGGAGCCACCGAUGCCAGUGAAGAACGUUUACUUUUUCAGAAGAGGGGAAUGUGUUCUGGGUCAGAAGUCGGACCCGGAGACACGGGGCCCGUCUGCUCGGUGUCAGGGGUGAGUUUGCAGGAGAAGUGAACCUGGUUCACCAGCACACACACACACCCGCUAAUCUCUUCAAAGCCUCGCGCUCGCAUCUGACUUUCAAAUCCGAGUGUUUGUCUUGAAAAUGGGCUCUAAUCCCGACCAGACCAGCACCUUUAAAAUUCAUUGGCGAUUAACGGAAACAGUAACGAGGCUCUUUCUCAUUCAUGGCGCUUGUGUAAAUAACAGGCGGGAGUCUGAGAGAGAUGCUGUGAUUGACAGCUGAGAGCUGUGAUUGACAGGUCAGCCCGAGCGCAGCGAGUUUCAUCUUUUAAAUUCUGGCAUGCGCGCUGGUGAUCGAUAGUUACACUAACCAGCGUUUAACAUUAGUGCACUUACUGUCCGAGAGGCUCCAUUAAUUUCUCCAUAGUUUUAAAACACUCAUAUUUUGCUUUGCCAUCACAAAAAAAAAGGCAUUUUCCGAGCACGAAAUAAAGAAAUGAAAAGCCGAGGGUCUCGUGCUCUCCGGGACUAAUUGAAUUGUGCUUGGGUUGGUUUGGUUUGGCUGACAGUAAUCGCAUCCGAUGGUCGGGCCAUUAAAGCGAGGCGCGCGUCUCCCGGUGACCGAUCACUGCUGAAUGCAGAUUGAGCUAAUGAGAGAGAGAGAUUGAUGAGAGAGAGAGAGAGGAUGAAGGAUCGGAAACGGAUGAGACGCGACGCGUCUGCUUGACGCAUGGCACCGGUGACCCGUCUGAAAGCCGGCGGGCGUGCAGCGGGUGGCACGAGAG
ensembl:lncRNA